rnacentral:rRNA from 1 species
CCUACGGGAGGCAGCAGGGGGGAAUAUUGCACAAUGGAGGAAACUCUGAUGCAGCGACGCCGCGUGAGCGAUGAAGGUUUUCGAAUCGUAAAGCUCUGUCCUAAGGGACGAUAAUGACGGUACCUUAGGAGGAAGCCCCGGCUAACUACGUGCCAGCAGCCGCGGUAAU